rnacentral:rRNA from 1 species
GACGAACGCUGGCGGCGUGCUUAACACAUGCAAGUCGAACGGAAAGGCCCUGCUUUUGUGGGGUGCUCGAGUGGCGAACGGGUGAGUAACACGUGAGUAACCUGCCCUUGACUUUGGGAUAACUUCAGGAAACUGGGGCUAAUACCGGAUAGGAGCUCCUGCUGCAUGGUGGGGGUUGGAAAGUUUCGGCGGGUGGGGAUGGACUCGCGGCUUAUCAGCUUGUUGGUGGGGUAGUGGCUUACCAAGGCUUUGACGGGUAGCCGGCCUGAGAGGGUUACCGGACACAUUGGGACUGGAAUGAGGAACAGUAUCAUAGGGAAGAGAGUCGUGGGGAAUAUUACACGACGGGAGAAACCCUAAUGCAGCAACGCCGGGUGCGGGAUGACGGCCUUCGGAUUGUAGAACGCUUUAGCCUGUGACGAAGCGUGGGUGACGGUAAUGGGUAAAGAAGCACCGGCUAACUACGUG